GCCUACGGCNAUACCACCCUAAACACNCCUGAUCUNGGAAGCUAAGCAGGGUCNGGCCUGGUUAGUACUUGGAUGGGAGACCUCCUGGGAAUACCGGGUGCUGUAGGCU
rnacentral:rRNA from 1 species